rnacentral:misc_RNA from 1 species
AGAGAGAGAGAGAGAGAGAUGACUGCCACAGCAAAACCAGCAUACAUUAGUUCAGAUUAAUCAGAGGUGAUAUGCCAACUAGACAUUUCAACACCAAUGAAUAGCCAAAAGAUGCAAGAACUAAGAAUUAUAGUUCCUAAUGUUUAAAUCAUAGUUCCUAACAUUAAGAUUUACAUCACCAUGAACAUAAGAUAGAACUUGAUGUAAAGCUGGAAUCAACAUUCCACUUUCAAGUCAAAAUAUAUCCAAAACUUUCAAAACUAAAAGAGGGUUUUGAAUUUUUACCAAGGCGUUCAAACUGGAAUUUU